CGCCAUGAUAAGAGGGUGGCUGCAUCUAAGCUCCCAAACAAAAGUUUCACUUUGAGUCAAGUUCUGGAUAUGUUGGAUCUAGGUGACUGCCCAGACAAGGCAUGCAACAUUGCAGUUAUCCUUCAAAAUGAGAAUGCAUAUGCUGAACCUAUCCAAACAGAUCAUGACAUGAACAUCGUUAUCAGUGAUGAUGACCUACCCCUCACCAUCCCCCCUCCACAACCUCCCCCACCCCCCUCCAUUGUUGAUAAUGAAGAGCCAAGGGCCUCUACAAGCCAUAGGGGUCAGCAAGAAGAGCCAAGGGAAAAGCUGCAGGUGGUCAAAAAUAAAGAUUGAGUGUUCAAACGAUCGAAGAGGCCUGCCACCUAUGUGAUUCCAAAAAACAUAUUAUACAGCCCAAAUAUGCAAAAGUUUGGCACGAAACCACUGAGCCACAGAAGGAGAUCUUUACUGGCUGCUACUGUUGAAGAUCAGGCAAGAUAUGACAAAGCUUCUCACUGGCCAAUCAACACUAUUCACCGGUUCCAGAGAUGUCAUCAUUGUGACAAACGCACUACCUAUGCAUGUGAGAAAUGCAAAGUGCCACUGCACAUUGAGUGCUUCAUGAUAUACCACGGACAGUAGAAAAUGAGAUAAGAGUGAAUGAAAAAUGACUGAAAAAGACAAUGAAUGAAAAAUAGAAAAGUCAAUAAAGGGUGAGGAGAAGCAGGUCAACGGACUCUAGGAUGAAAAGAAAAGUCGACGAAAAAGGCAAUGAAAUUGGCUGAAAUGUUUUUGGAAAAGAGGAUCAAUUAAUUCAAGACAUACUGUAUGAGAGUAGGUCUGGCUGAUCACAGUUCAAAAUAGUGAUGCACCAACUAAUCUUGCACUUGGUUCUGAAGCCUACCUCCAUGAUAUAUAUAAGCACUCAAUGUGCAGUGGCACUUUUUUAUAUAUAUCAUUAUUUUAUUUUGUUCAGUGUAGGCCUCUACUUGAAUGCAUAUUCUACAGGCUAUCUCUAUCCUACAUUUGACCUUUACCUUCAGUGGGAAUGAAUCACAUGAAUCACAUGACUGCUAUACAGUUGUUAGUGAAUAUUGCACUAAUUUAAUGUUGCACUUUUUGAUGUGUAAAAUAGUCACUAGAAUUUUGGUGACUGCAUAGGAGAAAUAUGUUCAUUCAGUAUACAUCACAUUAUCCCACCAACCAUAAAACACACUUUUUCAUGAAAAUGUAAAAAAUAAUGAUUGAUUAUUUCAAAGGGUUACUGAUGACACUUGAUUUUGAUAUUUUCAUGUCUGGGAAAAAUUUGGGAUUAAAUUCUUGAAAAUACAAUUGUCUUACAUCCUUCAAAAGAAGGUAAUCAAACUGCGUUGUCCGAUUUAAAAU
ensembl:lncRNA